rnacentral:rRNA from 1 species
UACGGAGGGGACUAGCGUUGUUCGGAAUUACUGGGCGUAAAGGGUGCGUAGGCGGGUCUUUUAAGUCAGGGGUGAAAUCCUGGAGCUCAACUCCAGAACUGCCUUUGAUACUGAAGAUCUUGAGUUCGGGAGAGGUGAGUGGAACUGCGAGUGUAGAGGUGAAAUUCGUAGAUAUUCGCAAGAACACCAGUGGCGAAGGCGGCUCACUGGCCCGAUACUGACACUGAGGAGCGAAAGCGUGGGGAGCGAACGAAGGAU